rnacentral:rRNA from 1 species
UACGGAGGGUGCGAGCGUUGUCCGGAAUCACUGGGCGUAAAGGGCGCGUAGGUGGUCAGGUAAGGGUGUGGUGAAAGUCCGGGGCUCAACCCCGGAUCUGCCGUGCCGACUGCUUGACUGGAGCAUUGCAGAGGCAGAUGGAAUUCCGGGUGUAGCGGUGAAAUGCGUAGAUAUCCGGAGGAACAUCGAUGGCGAAGGCAGCCGCCUGGGCCACAACUGACACUGAGGUACGAAAGCGUGGGGAGCAAACAGG